CUGUUCCCAAGAGUCCAAUCAGCUCUGGAUGCACUAACGGCACUGAGUUUCUGGACCUACGAGGCUGAUGACACCAUGGAGCCAUGAUAUGACAAUUUGUGCUUCUGUUCUGAGGCCUUUGAAUUGCACUCCAAAUAUCCUCAGGGCAGAGGUGUUAAGUGAGAAGCAGGCACUAUUUGAUAAUGGGCCAGGACAUUCCUACAGAAUUCCAAAAACCGUUCACCUGUGGCCAGCAGCAGAAGAAGGUAUGCAAAGAGAAGAGAAAGAAGGAUGCAAUGUCCACACAUGCUAAAGGAAGGAGCUUUGGGAGCCAUGGCUUACGGUGCAGACAUGGCCAAGUCCAAGAACCACAACACACAUGACCAGUUCCAAAAACGGCACAGAAAUGGUAUCAAGAAACCUCAGUCACAAAGAUCGGUGUCUCUAAAGGGGGUGGAUCCCAAAUUCCUGAGGAACAUGCCCUUUGCCAAGAAGCACAGCAAGAAGGGCCUAAAGAAGAUGCAGGCCAACAGUGCCAAGGCCAUGAGUGCACGUGCCAAGGCUAUCAAGGCCCUCGUAAAGCCCAAGGAGGUUAAGCCCAAGAUCCCAAAGGGUGUCAGCCGCAAGCUCAAUCAGCUUGCCUACACUGGCUACCCCAAGCUUGGGAAGCAUGCUUGUGCCCGCAUUGCCAAGGCGCUCAGGCUGUGCCGGCCAAAGGCCAAGGCCAAGGAUCAAACCAAGGCCCAGGCUGCAGCUCCGGCUUCAGUUCCAGCUCAGGCUCCCAAAGGUGCCCAGUCCCCCUACAAAGGCUUCAGAGUAGAGAUCUCUGUCUGCCAACGUGAGGACAGAAGGAC
ensembl:lncRNA novel transcript